CGAGAACCACUGGGCUACUGCGUAUCACCCGAUGGGUAACGAGGAAGACGCACCAUCAACCCGCACCGGGAAAGCCCUGCCCUGUGCGUGCAUGUAUGUCAGAGGAAAAUGGUCACACGUGUACGUGUUCCAGAUCUUACGAUGAAGAGCAUUCUGCUUCUACCUGCUCUGUUUCUUUGCCUCCUCCGCCCACCGAGGACUCAGAUAUGACCUUGCGCACUGACUUCUCUUGUAGUCACUUGUAUGCACACCCAGCGAACCUGCCCGUAGACUCCGGCUCCAGGACUGACCCUCUCCUGGAAGACUUCAUCUCAGAGAGCAGUUCCCGAGCAUCUGCGGCGUGUGCUGGGCUAAGCUGUGGGAUACCAAGGUGGACAAGAUGGUGCUGAAGGUGAUGAGAGCUGCCAUGCUGAGAGUUUACUGUGUACCAAACCCCAGGCUAGGUGCUGUGGAUACAGUGAUAAUCAUCACAGUCAAAGUGAAUUUCGUGAUGGAGCGACUUCUUGUGAAAGAUAAAACCAUGUGUUAAAUGCUGUAAUGGGGAUUGUUCAGAGCUGGGCGGUCCAAUCCAGGUGUCACGUGUGGCCACUUAGUAACAAUUAAAUAAAAUUUUAAAAUUCUUCA
rnacentral:lncRNA from 1 species